UACAGAGGUCUCAAGCGUUGUUCGGAAUUAUUGGGCGUAAAGGGCUCGUAGGCGGUUUGUCGCGUCGGGAGUGAAAUCCACUGGCUUAACUGGUGGCUUGCUUUCGAUACGGGCAGACUGGAGGUAUGCAGGGGAGAACGGAAUUCCUGGUGUAGCGGUGAAAUGCGCAGAUAUCAGGAGGAACACCGGUGGCGAAGGCGGUUCUCUGGGCAUGUCCUGACGCUGAGGAGCGAAAGUGUGGGGAGCGAACAGG
rnacentral:rRNA from 1 species